rnacentral:rRNA from 1 species
GGGAUGAAACUGCUUAGGAAACGUGGCGAAAGGGUGAGUAACAGAUAGAUAACCUACCCUCGAGUUCGGGAUAAUCCAUCGAAAGGUGAAGUAAUACCGAAUGGUAUAAUAUCUUUACGGAGAUAUUAUUAAAGGGGGCUCCGGCUCUCGGUCGAGGAGGGGUCUAUUUCCUAUUAGCUUGUUGGUGAGGUAACGGCUCACCAAGGCGAUGAUGGGUAGGGGGCCUUAGCGGGUGGCCCUCCACACUGGGAGUGAGACACUGCCCAGGUUCCUACGGGAGGCUGCAAUCGAGAAUCCUCCGCAAUGGGCGAAAGCCUGACGGGGUGACGCCGCGUGACCGAUGAAGGCCCUUACGGGUCGUAAAGGUCUUACAGGGAGUAUGAAAUAUACUAUGGUUAAUACCCAUAGUAUUUGACGUCAAUCCCAGAUGAAGUCACGGCUAAAUUUGUGCCAGCAGCCGCGGUAAGACAAAUGUGGCAAGCGUUGUUCGGAAUCACUGGGCAUAAAGGGCACGUAGGCGGUGUAGUAAGUUAACUGUGAAAUCCCCCGGCUUAACUGGGGAACUGCAGUUAAUACUGCUAUACUAGAGUGCAGAAGAGGAGAGUGGAAUUCUAGGUGUAGCGGUGGAAUGCGAAGAUAUCUAGGAGAAGGCCGGUGGCGAAAGCGACUCUCUGGUCUGUCACUGACGCUGAGGUGCGAAAGUGUAGGUAGCGAACGGGAUUAGAUACCCCGGUAGUCUACACUGUAAACGAUGGGCACUAGAUGGUGGAAGCGCCGAUAGCUUUCUCCGUCGCAGUUAAUGCGUUAAGUGCCCCGCCUGGGGAGUAUGGCCGCAAGGUUAAAACUCAAAGGAAUUGACGGGGGCCCACACAAGCGGUGGAGGAUGUGGCUUAAUUCGAGGAUACGCGUAGAACCUUACCGAGGCUUGACAUGCAGGUGGUAGUGAAGUGAAAGCGGAACGACCCGAAUAGGGAGCCUGCACAGGUGCUGCAUGGCUGUCGGCAGCUCGUGUCGUGAGAUGUUAGGUUUAAGUCCUGUAACGAGCGAAACCACUUGUGCUUAAUUGCCAGCACGUUAUGGUGGGGACCUUAAGCAGACUGCCCCGGCCAACGGGGAGGAAGGUGGGGAUGACGUCAAGUCAGCAU